GAGGGGGGACCCUGGCGGUGCAGGCAGGGGGCGCCGGCGCGGGGCCCGUGAGCAGCCCGGAGAAGGCGGGCGGUGCGGGGGCGGUGGGCGCGGGCGCGGGCGCUCUCCGCCCCACAUCCGGUGACGGCGCGGCCUCAGGCCGCAGGGAGGGCAGGGCCGCAGGGACGACCGGGCCAGCCCCGAGCCGCCGCGCCUCUUCCCGCCCGCCGCCAGCCUCGAGCGCCCCCGCGCCCCCCGCCGCCCGGGCCGCUACGCGGGAGCUGCCGCCGCCGCCUUCGUCUCCGCCCGCUCGGCCAUGGGCGCCGCCGGCUCGUCCGCUCUGGGCCGCCUCGGCCUCCCCGCGCCGCGCCUCCCGGCGCCGUCCCGGCCCGCCUGGCUCGGGGCGGCCGCGCUGGGACUGGCCGCCGUGGCGCUGGGGACGGUCGCCUGGCGCCGCGCGCGCUGCAGGCGGCGCCGGCGGCUGCGGCAGGUGGGCACCGUGGCGCAGCUCUGGAUCUACCCGGUCAAGUCGUGCAAGGGGGUGCCGGUGAGCGCGGCCGAGUGCACGGCCUUGGGGCUGCGCUGCGGCCACCUGCGGGACAGGUUUUGGCUGGUGAUUAAGGAAGAUGGGCACAUGGUCACUGCCCGGCAGGAGCCUCGCCUGGUGCUGGUGUCCAUCACCUAUGAGGGCAACCGCCUGAUCCUCAAGGCCCCGGGCAUGGACCAGCUGGCUUUGCCGAGCGAGCUGCCUUCCUCAAACAAGCUCUGGGACUGCAGGCUCUUUGGUAUGGACAUCAAGGGCAGGGACUGUGGUGACCAGGCAGCUCAGUGGUUCACCAACUUCUUGAAAACAGAGGCUUUCCGGCUGGUCCAGUUUGAGAAGCACAUGAAGGGAAGACCGUCCAAGGACAUUUUCUCUGCUUCGGUGCCGGAUUACCAGGUGGCCUACCCGGACUGCUGCCCGCUCAUGAUCCUGUCGGAAGCCUCGCUCGCGGACCUGAAUACCAGGCUGGAGAAGAAAGUGAAGAUGGACCAGUUCAGACCCAAUAUCGUGGUGACAGGCUGCGAUGCUUUCGAGGAGGAUACUUGGGAUGAACUCCUGAUUGGCAACGUAGAAAUGAAAAAGGUUUUGUCUUGCCCCAGGUGCAUUUUGACCACUGUAGACCCAGAUACCGGAGUGAUAGACCGGAAGGAGCCACUGGAAACCCUGAAGAGCUACCGCCUGUGUGAUCCUUCCGAGAAGGCAAUAUACAAGUCGUCCCCACUUUUUGGGGUCUAUUAUUCAGUGGAGAAAAUUGGCGGCCUGAAAGUCGGUGACCCCGUGUACCAGCUGGUUCAGUGACAUGGCGGCUCUCCCGCUUCCCGUUCGGUCAUAAGAUACUGAUGCAGGGGCCCCAGCCAAAGACAGGGCGAUGUUCUCAGAUCGUGAGGGGAUAAGGAAAUGAAGGUUUCCGGGUCCGGGAGGCCUUCGUAGGAUUUCACCCACAGCAGCGACAGCACCGUCCCGGGCCAUCCUCGGGAACCAGCCUGCGGCCAUCCUCAGCUGGAAAUGAAUCCCCAUUUUCAGCUUUUUGAAGUUAUGCGUGCUCCGAGUGAAUGCAGGAAAAGUAUUCGAGGCCGAAUCAGAAAUAAGAAGAUAAGUAGAUUUUAGGUAAUGAGGACUUUUGAAAUAAAUCACACUGUGAAAUUGUUUUGAAUGUUACUAUGGUGAUUACGCUUCUGGAUCCCUGACGUUAAUAUUGAGCGUUUAAGAAAGCUCCAAGAAUCGCGUUUUAGGGAAUGAGAUCACCGUUUUCUGAGGUGCCUUUUACAGGUUAACACAAAUUCCUGUUGUCGGUCUUGAUGUGGCUGUUGAACCUGUCAACCUUUUGCUCACAGGUUUUGGAAUCGGGUUGUGCGUGUGUAUGGAAGUUAUUUUAUAGAUCUUGUUUUUAUUUUCGAUUAAGCCUCUGUGGAGCCAUCUGGAAGCAAUGUGUGUGUAACUGCCAGAUACACUGCCUGGAAUUCCAAGUAUGAUGAAGAAAAGAUGGGAUUUUAAAAAGAAUGGAAUUUUGAGAGCAGGAGGGAGAGGAGGAAAACAUGAGCAUUUUUUUUUUUUUUUUUUUUUAGGUGCAAAUGAUUUUUUUUUGUAACAGAGAAAUGAACUAUUUUGGUAUGGCUAACCAAAAAUCCUCACCGAAGAAAUAUGUGAACAAAUUAACUGACUUAUAAUUUUGUGGUUUCUUUAAUAUUAAUAAAUGUGAAUCUUAGUUGUA